GUCAGACACAACCGUGUGCAGUGGGGGCCCAUCGGGAGGGAAGCGGGCCUUCCUUGCCAAGCAGAAGGGCUUCUCUGCCUCUGAGCCUGAGAGUCCGAGCCGCCAGCGCAGGCCGAUGUUAGAGGUGCACAAGGCACCUGACUGGCUCGCCCAGCCACGGGAAGAGAAGCUGCCCAAGGGGGAGUGGGAUGGCCAGACCUACUUCUAGAAGACACUUGCAGCAAGGAGGCAAGAGGCUUAGAAGAUGAGUCAGAUCUCAGAUCCCCAGUGGCUCCCCAGAGGGGCAGGCUGAUAUCACCUGGAAGUUCAGGCAAGUUCAUUCUUCACGGAUGAAGUCUGAUUGUUGAGAGACUGGAGUGGAAGACUGCCUGUGAAAUCCAAGAAUAAGAGUGUGUCAUCCAUUGCUGUAUUCUUGAUGGUGCCAGUGCAAAACCCUGGGCAUCUAGGCUCCUCAGGGCCGUGACCUA